AGUCAGAGGCGAUGAAGGGCGUGCUAAUCUGCGAUAAGCGCCGGUAAGGUGAUAUGAACCGUUAUAACCGGCGAUACCCGAAUGGGGAAACCCAGUGUGAUUCGUCACACUAUCAUUAACUGAAUCCAUAGGUUAAUGAGGCGAACCGGGGGAACUGAAACAUCUAAGUACCCCGAGGAAAAGAAAUCAACCGAGAUUCCCCCAGUAGCGGCGAGCGAACGGGGAGGAGCCCAGAGCCUGAAUCAGCAUGUGUGUUAGUGGAAGCGUCUGGAAAGGCGCGCGAUACAGGGUGACAGCCCCGUACACAAAAGCGCAUGUGCUGUGAGCUCGAUGAGUAGGGCGGGACACGUGGUAUCCUGUCUGAAUAUGGGGGGACCAUCCUCCAAGGCUAAAUACUCCUGACUGACCGAUAGUGAACCAGUACCGUGAGGGAAAGGCGAAAAGAACCCCGGCGAGGGGAGUGAAAAAGAACCUGAAACCGUGUACGUACAAGCAGUGGGAGCACAGGUUUACCUGUGUGACUGCGUACCUUUUGUAUAAUGGGUCAGCGACUUAUAUUCUGUAGCAAGGUUAACCGAAUAGGGGAGC
rnacentral:rRNA from 1 species